AUUGAACGCUGGCGGCAGGCCUAACACAUGCAAGUCGAGCGGAUGAAGGGAGCUUGCUCCUGGAUUCAGCGGCGCACGGGUGAGUAAUGCCUAGGAAUCUGCCUGGUAGUGGGGGAUAACGUCCGGAAACGGGCGCUAAUACCGCAUACGUCCUGAGGGAGAAAGUGGGGGAUCUUCGGACCUCACGCUAUCAGAUGAGCCUAGGUCGGAUUAGCUAGUUGGUGGGGUAAAGGCCUACCAAGGCGACGAUCCGUAACUGGUCUGAGAGGAUGAUCAGUCACACUGGAACUGAGACACGGUCCAGACUCCUACGGGAGGCCGCAGUGGGGAAUAUUGGACAAUGGGCGAAAGCCUGAUCCAGCCAUGCCGCGUGUGUGAAGAAGGUCUUCGGAUUGUAAAGCACUUUAAGUUGGGAGGAAGGGCAGUAAGUUAAUACCUUGCUGUUUUGACGUUACCAACAGAAUAAGCACCGGCUAACUUCGUG
rnacentral:rRNA from 1 species